CCGACUGACGACGACGACGCCGAUCGAUAUUGUAUCUUUAAACUAUUUAUCAUACAAAUCGAGAAAAUUUGAAAAAAAUCUACAACGAUUUACAUAAUAUACGAAGAUGAACUUCGUGCAACUUCUCGCAUCGUGUACAGACAGACGAGUUAAUGAUGCGCGCCUUGUGACAAACUAGAGACAAUAACAAAAUUCUUUUCGGUAUAUUUAUAUUUUCGAUUCUUGAUAUAAAACUUUAAUCAUUUAUGGUAGUUGGCAAUAAUCGUUAAUCAAAACACUUGACUUUGCAAAUUUAUAUUUUUCAGAUUGAAAAAAGGCACAAAUGUACAAGUUAUCGCCAUGCCGCCAUAACGGUUUACCCAAUAAUCGUCAUGGAUAUGUCCCACAAAUCGCCAUACGUGUUUAACUAUCGCAUAAACGAACGAUGAUUCAGACAGAUAAAUUUAUAUAUACGAGUAAAGCUGUUCAUCAAACGUCAAGACGAAGUAUGAUGACAUCUUGUUACAUUACUAUCUUUGGUCCCAGUAAUCAAACAGAUAUGGCGAUUAUUCGAACGACUACGUGCUUCGAUGAACCAGUGCUGGUUACGUCAUAAAAAAACUAUGAAAUUUGUAUGAAAUAAUAAUUUGUCAUGGUAUAUGUAAAACUGUGAUCUCGAUUUAUAACUCAAUUUAUCUCAUGCAAGUUGUCAUUACUCCAAAAUCACACAAAAUAGUCCCUCUUAACCUCACAAUGAAGCAUUUGAUCGAAAUCACGCAUAAGCUCGGUAUAUGCUCCAUAUAUUCGAGUUAAUAAAUAGUGAAUUCAUAUACUUAUGAGUUUCGUAAUGUAACACAACAUUGUAAAUACCUCCUUGGAAAUAAAAUAAAAUAAAAAUAU